UUAUGGCCAUAUCACUUUGAAACACCAGUUCUUAUGCUAUCACUGAAGUUAAGCAACUGAGCUUGGUCAGUACCUUGAUGGGUAACUGCUAGGGAAUACCAGGCGCUGUAAG